rnacentral:lncRNA from 1 species
AGGACACAGGACUUUCUGUAUCCUGGGUUCUUUCCUUCAUGUACGGGAAGAAUCGGAUCACAUAUGGGCUUGGGGAAUGAGUGCAAAGUUUUAUUGAGUGAAAGUAGCUCUCAGUCGAUAUAGGAGACAGAAGGGAAACGGUUUUCUCCUAGAGUUCUGCCACUUGGUGGCCCCUGCUCUCCUCUGACUGCCCCAGCCAAACUCUGCCUAGUCCCGCCGGUCAACGGCCUGCCAUCUGGCGUACCAGAAUCUCUCGGUGAGCUCUUUUGCCGGCGUGCUCCCUCAACGUCCUCUUGCCAUCGAGCCGCUGUGUCCUCUUCUGCUGAUCUGCUUCGCUCUAUGUCCAGCCGCCUGCGUAUCUGAUCACUAGGGUGUGGGGUUAUUAUAGGCCCAGGAUGGGGCCAUGGUGGUCCAGGGUAGUCUUGGAAAAUGCAACAUUUGGGCGUGAAAGCAGGAGUGCCUGUCCUCACCUAGGUCUGUGGGGGUGGAGCCCUAGCCAGGGACUAGCCUUUCUCUACUUCCCUGUCCUCCCUUUUUGAAUCACUUAAAGGGACUAUGCUCUUCCCUUUCCAGUACCUCCGUAUCACUGGAGAGUAACAGUUUGGUCCGUGGGAGUGACAGAGCAGGAGCAUUGCCGUCUUGGACAAGCACCACCAUUUUAAAGUUCACCUUGAUCAAAAACCACCUAAAUCCAGAGGGCAUCAGCCUAAUGGCUAAGGUCAGCAUGACCAUAAACCACAAAUGACACUUCCGACCAGAAACAUUCCAACCAUAAGAUAAACCCCUUCCCUACCAGACAGAUGUCAAGAAAACCUCCAUUCCAACCAGAGACAUUCCAACCCGCAAUAAACUUCACGACACAGAAACAUUCCAAGCCUGUGAUAAGUUC